GGGAAGAUUCCACAUGCCAUGGAGCAACAAAGCCCGUGUGCCACAACUACUGAGCCUGUGCUCUAGAUCCCACAAGCCACAACUACUGAGCCUGUGUGCCACAACUACUGAGCCCACGUGCCACAACUACUGAAGUCCGUGAGCCUAGAGCCCGUGCUCUGCAACAAGAGAAGCCACUGCAAAGAGAAGCUCGCGCGCCACAACAAAGAGUAGCCCCCACUCGCCACAACUAGAGAAAGCCCGCGCGCAGCAACGAAGACCCAACGCAGCCAAAAGUAAAUAAAAAGUAAAAUAAAUUUAUAAAAAAAAGAAUGAUGCAUUUAAAAAAAUAGUCCACUGAACGAAUGUGUUAUCAUAAUUUAUUUAAAUUGGUCUCCAAACUGAUGGACUGGACAUUGGGGCUAUUUCCAAUUUUUGGUAUUUGAAUUAGAUUUUUACAUAAGAGAAGAGACAUGAAUUAAUAAAGGAAGAAUUUUAGGUCAUGAAAAAAGGUUUAUAUAUAAACAGGGACCCCUGGCAUUUUUGUGACUGAGGAACUGCUUUUGACUUGCCUAAGCCUUAGGGUGAAUGUAGUUAUGAGGGUGGAGGUGGGAGAGUAGUGAGUGUUUAUGCAGACCUUUGAGUCUAUGUGACUUAAGAACUGGGCAUGUCUAACAGGGAUGGAUUGAAGCUGGCAUAGACACUUCUUCACCAAUUAAAGAUCUUUCAGGGGAGGAGGCUGCCACAGCUGUGAACACUGACCAUAUUCCCCUCCAGUAGAAAUGCCCUCUUGUCCACCCAUGGCUGUCAGUCACUGGAUUGUAUCCUAAAUCUACCUGCUGUCACAGUUGUUUAUCUGGGCCCCCUAGCCAUCGUGAGAAACAGGAAGUAUUUGUAAAAGAGAGUAGGUCUGAUAGCUUGGGAGGAAUGAGAAAUGGGCCAUUUUGUAAGGCUACCGCCCACUUGUUCUUCCCUUUGGUUUAAGCACACUUUGUCCUCUCCCACUGAUGUUGGAAGAGUUAGUUUCAGAUGCAACCAUUUACCAGUUGCAUGAUCUUGGGAAAGUAUCAAUAUCUCCAAACUUCAGUUCUCCCAUCAGCAAAAUGGGUAUAAUAAUUCCUGGUUGGCACAGUGUUGGUAAGAUUUAAUAAGCCAAUGGAUGUGAAAGGGCCUGUGUUUCAUUUUACUUUCUUCCAAGACCUUUCCAGAAUGGAGUUUGUAAAGCAAUAUGUAAUCCAACCCAAGACAGUGAAGCAUAUUCUAUUCUUUCCUGGGAUGUGCCUCCCAGUGUAAGCCUCCCAUACCCUCGGCUUUUAUGCUUUAUUGAAGCUAUUCCUGAAAGUUCAUCACCUUUAGGAAAAUAUUACCAGAUUUCUUUACAUUUCUAUAGCACUUUAUGGCUGGCAAAGAGACCUGAGCAACAAUGAUCUAAUUUGAGCCUCCCAUCAAACCAUCUGGGGUAAAUAGGGCAUGUUUUAUUCCCAUGUAAAAGAUGGCGUAACUGAGGCUCAGAGAAAUUGUUAUAAAGAAACUGAGACUCACAGAAGACACAUUGAUAGAGAGCAGGAAGAGGUCCCUCUAGACUACGACAGGACUGAUGAGGUGAGAGGUAGCUUCCCUGCUCUCAAUCUGCUUAGGCUUGGAAUUCUUGAGUCUGUUUCCCCAAUCACAUUUUACAUCCUAGUAAAAUACAUGUCACUGUAAAUAUUUGUUUAUUUAUUUGGCUGCGCUGGGAUCUUAGUUGCGGCAUGCAGGCUCUUAGUUGCAGCAUGUGGGAUCUGGUUCUCCCACCAGAGAUCGAACCCAGGCCCCCUGCAUUGGGAGUGUGAAGUCUUAACCACUGGACCACCAGGGAAGUCCCCAUGUCACUUUAUUUAUUUAUUUAUUUAAAAAGAUUUUUUUGAUGUGGACCAUUGUUAAAGUCUUUAUUGAAUUUGUUACAGUACUGCUUCUGUUUUAUGUUUUGGUUUUUUGGCCACAGGCAUGUGGGAUCUCAGCUCCCCAACCAGGGAUCGAACCAGCACCCCCUACAUUGGAAGUUGCGGCAUGCGGGAUCUAAUUCCCUGACCAGGGAUCGAACCCGGGCCCCCUGCUUUAGAAGCGUGGAGUCUUAACUACUGGACCACCAGGGAAGUCCCUAAUGUAUUUUUAAAAUGUCACUCUGGCUGUUGUGUGGAACCUGGGUGGAAAGGGAGUGAGAGUGGAAGCAGGGAGACGCAGGGGUUCCUGUGGUGGUUCAGGUGAGAGAUGGUGGUUGGGGCCAAGGAGGUGGCCAUGGAAAUACUUCUUCUUGCUAGACUACAAACUCCAGGAAGGCUCGGAGCUGUCUCUUUUGUGUAACUUAUAUUCCAAGCUUCUAGAACAGUGCCUGGCGCAUAGGAGGUCCUCAGAAAAUAUUAGUUGGAUCAAUGAGUGAAUAGUUACUUUCUGGAGUCAGACUGGAGUCAGGUUUAGGAUAAAUAAAAGUGUAAGCUCUUCUAAAAAAAAAAAAAAAGCUGCAACUUUGUGUGUCUCCCAGUAUAUGGGCUACAGCAGUAUUCCUAGGGGGUGGAGCAUAUUGUCUCCAGAACAAAGAGGUCCACCAGGGAUUGUGUUUCCUUCUUUGUGGAUGCAAGAUGCAGCAAUUUGCCUUUUCUUUAGAUGGGUGUCCUAGCUUACCCCUACCACUGGACCCCAAGUGACUUUACUGAAGGGGCAGUUCCCUGAAUGUUCCUAGAGUUUAUAUCUCACCCUCCUGAGUGCUUGUGUCUUACCAAGGCUUUAAGGUGCUAGCCACCUUUUGCUCAGUCUCCUGAAACAGCAUAAUGUCAGUGAUGCAAUGGAUCAAUGUGACAUUCUGCGGGAUGUCGAGAUGGUCUAGAUCUUUUCUGAAUAUAUCACGACAUAGAUUUGGAGAGUUACCACAGCCUGGGGAAAAAACUAAAUGAAUGUUGUUCAGUCCACAUGAAUGCUGUUUCUGAUCCUCUUUCCUGAUUGGGAUAAAGAGGAAUGCAUUUGCUAAAUCAGUGGCCACAUAUCAUGUACUUGAAGUCAUAUUUAUAUGCUCUAGCAAUGAGACCACGUCCAGCGUGGUGGCUGCAAUCGGGGUGGAGUUGAACUGGCAACAGUCUACAGUCAUUCUCCAGGAUCUGUCUGUUUUCUGCAGGACCCAGACUGGUGAAUUAGACAGAGGUAUGGUAGCGACCACCAUCCCUGCAUCCUUAAGAUCCUAAAGAGCGGCACUGAUUUCUAUCUUCCGUCCAAAAUGGGAGCACAGGCUCCGGACGCGCAGGCCCAGCGGCCACGGCUCACAGGCCCAGCUGCUCCGCGGCACGUGGGAUCCUCCCGGACCGGGGCACGAACCUGCGUCCCCUGCAUCGACAGGCGGACUCUCAACCACUGCGCCACCAGGAAAGCCCUAUAAAGUGUUUUAAAAAAAAUAUAUUUAGCUGUGGUAAAAAACAUAAAAUUUAUCAUCUUAACCAUUUUUAACUGUACAGUUGAGUAGUGUUAAGCAUAUUCACAAUGUUGUGCAACCCAGCUCCAGAAAUUUUUCAUUUUGCAAUAUUGAAACUGCAUCCAUUAAAAAAAAAACCCAUUUCCCCCUCCGUGCAGCCCCUGGAAACCACCAUUCUACUUCCUGUUUAUAUGACUUUGACUAUUUUAGAUACUUCAUAUAAGCAGGAGCAUACAGUAUUUGUCUUUUUGUGACUGGCUUUCUUAGCAGUCCUCAAGGUUCAUCCAUGGUGUAGUAUAGGACAGGAUUUCCUUCCUUUUUUAAGGUUGAAUAAUAUUCCAUUGCAUGUAUAUACUACAUUUUGUUUAUCCAUUCAUCCUUUGGUGAACACUUGAGUUACUUCCACCUCUGGCCCACUGUUAAUAAUGCUGCUAUGAACAUGGAUGUGCAAAUAUCUCUUUAAGAUCCUGCUUUCAUUCUUUUGGAUAUAUACCAGGAGUGGGAUUGCUGGAUCAUAUGGUAAUUCUAUUUUUAUUUUUUUGAGGAACUACCAUAUUGUUUUCUAUAGUGGCUGCAACAUUUUACACUCCCACCAACAGUGCACAAGGGUUCCAAUUUCUCCACAUCAAGGGAUCAUGAUUUUUUCUUAUUGGGGCAACAGUGUUCAGCUCCCUGUUCACCUAGU